UACACCGUAUUCUGUGAGUUGCGAACGGGUGAGUAACGCGUAGGUAACCUGCCUGGUAGCGGGGGAUAACUAUUGGAAACGAUAGCUAAUACCGCAUAAGAACAUUUACUGCAUGGUAGAUGUUUAAAAGGUGCAAAAGCAUCACUACCAGAUGGACCUGCGUUGUAUUAGCUAGUUGGUGAGGUAACGGCUCACCAAGGCAACGAUACAUAGCCGACCUGAGAGGGUGAUCGGCCACACUGGGACUGAGACACGGCCCAGACUCCUACGGGAGGCAGCAGUAGGGAAUCUUCGGCAAUGGGGGGAACCCUGACCGAGCAACGCCGCGUGAGUGAAGAAGGUUUUCGGAUCGUAAAGCUCUGUUGUUAAGGAAGAACGUGUGUGAGAGUGGAAAGUUCACACAGUGACGGUACUUAACCAGAAAGGGACGGCUAACUACGUGCCAGCAGCCGCGGUAAUACGUAGGUCCCGAGCGUUGUCCGGAUUUAUUGGGCGUAAAGCGAGCGCAGGCGGUUAGAUAAGUCUGAAGUGAAAGGCAGUGGCUCAACCAUUGUAGGCUUUGGAAACUGUUUAACUUGAGUGCAGAAGGGGAGAGUGGAAUUCCAUGUGUAGCGGUGAAAUGCGUAGAUAUAUGGAGGAACACCGGUGGCGAAAGCGGCUCUCUGGUCUGUAACUGACGCUGAGGCUCGAAAGCGUGGGGAGCGAACAGGAUUAGAUACCCUGGUAGUCCACGCCGUAAACGAUGAGUGCUAGGUGUUAGGUCCUUUCCGGGACUUAGUGCCGC
rnacentral:rRNA from 1 species